ACAGAGAGGACACAUUUAUUUGAGCCCGUCAAAUUAAGUGCCAGCCGACGCGGUUAAACUUAAGGGCUGGUCUCUAUAAGUAAAAAGGCGUAAAGGAUGUGUAGGCUAAGAAAUUAUCCAAGAAGGUGAAUGGAAUUUUUCUGGAGCGGUAGAAUGUGAGGAUAGAAAAUAGAACUCCUAAGGUUAAAACUAUUCACCGCAAGAUAGGCUGAGACAUGAAAGUGUGGGGAACAAACAGGAUUAGAGACCCUGGUAGUCCACACUGUGAACUUUGAAGAUGAUGCUUAGCAGGCCCGAAAGGUAAAAUCUUCCGCCUGAGUAGUACGAUCGCAAGAUUAAAAUUCAAAAACUUUGGCUGUUCACUAUUUCGAUUAGAGGAGCGUGUAGUUUAAUUCGAUGGUCCGCGUGUUACCUCACCCCAGCUUGAAUCCGUGACCGGUAUUGCAUGGCCGUCGUAAGUCCGUGUGUUAAGCUAGAAGGGACCCAACCCGGGCGCCUGCCCGGAGGAAGUCAGGUCUUAUGAUCCGAAUGCUGGGGGAUUAUAUGCGCUACAUUUUCUUAUAUAAUGGGAGACCUGGAAGGUGAACCUCUAAAGUAAGAGUUCGGAAGGUUGCUGUAAGACGACUGGAAGUUGAAUUUAAUAGUAAUCGGAAAGUAGAGCGUUCCGGUGA
rnacentral:rRNA from 2 species